ensembl:snRNA U6 U6 spliceosomal RNA
GUGCUCGCUUCGGCGACACAUACACUGACAUUGGAACAAGACAGAGAAGAUUAGGACAGCCCCCUGCAUAAAGAUGACACGCAAAUUUACGAAGCGUUCCGUAGUUUU